rnacentral:rRNA from 1 species
GAACCUACGGGGGGCAGCAGUGAGGAAUAUUGGUCAAUGGGCGCGAGCCUGAACCAGCCAAGUAGCGUGAAGGAUGACUGCCCUACGGGUUGUAAACUUCUUUUAUAAAGGAAUAAAGUGAGGCACGUGUGCCUUUUUGUAUGUACUUUAUGAAUAAGGAUCGGCUAACUCCGUGCCAGCAGCCGCGGUAAUACGGAGGAUGCGAGCGUUAUCCGGAUUUAUUGGGUUUAAAGGGUGCGUAGGCGGGAGAUCAAGUCAGCGGUAAAAAUGCGGGGCCCAACCCCGUCGAGCCGUUGAAACUGGUU